rnacentral:rRNA from 1 species
GAUGAACGCUGACAGAAUGCUUAACACAUGCAAGUCUACUUGAUUCUACUUCGGUAGUUGAUGGUGGCGGACGGGUGAGUAACGCGUAAAGAAUCUGCCCUUUAGUUUGGGAUAACCUUUGGAAACGGAGGCUAAUACCGGAUAUUAUGGAGACGUCGCAUGACGACUUCAUGAAAGCUAUAUGCGCUAGAGGAGGACUUUGCGUCCCAUUAGUUAGUUGGUGAGGUAAUGGCUCACCAAGACCGCGAUGGGUAGCCGGCCUGAGAGGGUGAUCGGCCACAAGGGAACUGAGACACGGUCCUUACUCCUACGGGAGGCAGCAGUGGGGAAUAUUGGACAAUGGGCCACAAGCCUGAUCCAGCAAUUCUGUGUGCACGACGAAGGUCUUCGGAUUGUAAAGUGCUUUCAGUAGGGAAGAAAAAAAUGACGGCACCUACAGAAGAAGCGACGGCUAAAUAUGUGCCAGCAGCCGCGGUAA